CAAAGAUGCAGGUGAGGGACUGCUGGCAGUGCAGAUCACUGACCCAGACGGGAAGCCCAAGAAGCAAAUAUCUGUGACAACCAUGAUGGGACCUACCUGGUGUCUUAUGUGCCAGACAUGACUGACAGCUGCUCAGUCCAUCCAGACUCCUCUCCAUAUGCAGCAGUGAUGCCGGCUCUCUCCAAGUGAUUCCUUCAUCAUCAACAUCUGCAUCCACGAUCCACCAGCUCAACAGCAACAUCUGUCAGCUGUGCAUCCAACUGGAGGCCUUCGCCUGC